GAUGAACGCUGGCGGCGUGCCUUACACAUGCAAGUCGAGCGAACAGAUAAGUACUUUGCUCUUUUGACGUUUGCGGCGCACGUGUGAGUUACAUGUGGGCAUCUCCUCUAUUAGACUGUAACACCUCCGGAACCCCAUUGCUGCUGCCUGCUAACUUUUAGUAACACCUGGUUCUCUUGUGAACGCUCGCUUUGCUAUUACUUAUUGACUGAUUCGCGGCGUAUUAGCUAGUUGGCCUGGUAAAGGCCUACCAAGGCGACGAUCAGUAGCCGACCUGAGAGGAUGAUCAGCCACACUGGAACUGAGACACGGUCCAGACUCCUACGGGAGGCAGCAGUGGGGAAUCUUGGACAAUGGGCGAAAGCCUGACGGAGCAACGCCGCGUGAGUGAAGAAGGUCUUCGGAUCGUAAAGCACUGUUGUUAGGAAAGAACAAAUGGGUAAGAAAAUAGGCGGGGGAUGACGGUACCGGAACAAAAAGCAACGGCUAACUACGUG
rnacentral:rRNA from 1 species